AAAGGACGGAUGAAUGUUUCCAUCACGACAGAUCGGAUACAGAAAAAAAUAAUCGCAGAGCAGCGGCGAUAAUCGUAAUCCGGCACCGUUGGUGGCGUCGGAUUUCGGUGUCAUUAUCGUCCAUUUUUCUGCUAUUCUUACUAUUAGGUAACCAGGAGGGUUGAGAUGAAGAUAUACUUCUCUCUCGUCACGUCGGUUCUCGCCGCAUCUGCCGUGGCUUUCACCUCCCCCGUGGAUCCCAACAUUGCUUUCCAUCCUUCUUCGAAGCAGGGUUCUUUCUCCUCGUCCGUUAAAGACAGGGUUCCUUGCGCCCGCAUAACUUCGGAUAUGGAUAGACUAACGCCAAGAUUCGACGGUUUGAGAUUCAUAGAAACCUUGGUGACGGCACACAGAUAAAUAAAGAUGUCUCACCUGUUUUCUUUCUUCUUUCAUCGUUUCCUAUUGAUAUAAGGAGCAUUCGUUGUAAAAGUUGCGUGAGAGAAGAUUCUUUUCUUGAAAGUUUAGUCCUGUACUACAGGAUUUGAAGCCUA